GGAGGGCAGUGGUGCAAUCACAGCUUACUACAGCCUCGUCCUUUCUGGCUCAAGCCACCCUCCCGCCUCAGCCCUCCAAAUACCUAGGACAACAGGCAUAUGCCACCGUGGGGAAUAACUGUCCUUUCUGUAUCUGGAUUUACUUUAAUCUUAAGGACACUGCGAAUGGUGUAUCUGACCAGGCUUCUCUGUAUUCACUAUUGGAAAGCUUAAACGUGUGGCCUCAUGAAGUAGGUGUGUAUGUCAUGGCGGGCUCUUCAAGCCUCAUUCCAGACUCCACUUUUUAUCCCUCACCCUUGGGUUUCCUUCAUGUAACUUUUCAUUUACACGACCUUGUACCCUAGCUUUUCUUGUUAGUCGCUUUAAGUCCCAUAAGUAAACGACAGAUACUCCCCAGCCCAACUGCCUACAGAGGUGGGGUGGCCGGCCACCUCUUCAGUUGAUUCCUUUAAUAGGAGAAUGUCAAGCCUGCAUGGAUCAACCUCUAAUUCAAACAAACCAUCAGGGGGAGAAAAAAAUUAGACAACUGAAUUUAAACACUGAAUAUUUAUUUGAUAAGUUUGUAUCAAAGUUGUUUAGGUGUGACAGUGGUAAAGUGGUUUUCUUUUUUGUUGUUGUUUUGAAACAGAGUCUCACUGUCACCCAGGAUGGAGUGCAGUGGCGCAAUCUUGGCUCACCACAACCUCCACCUCCCGGGUUCACGCCAUUCUCCUGCCUCAGCCUCCCGAAUAGCUGGGACUACAGGCGCACACCACCAUGCCCGGCUAAUUUUUGUAUUUUUAGUAGAGACGGGGUUUCACUAUGUUGGCCAGGCUGGUGUCAAACUCCUGACCUCGUGAUCCACCCGCCUUGGCCUCCCAAAGUGCUGGGAUUAUAGGCAUGAGCCACCGCGCCUGGCCAUGAUUAUGUUUUCUAAAACAGUUAUCUUUUAGAUAUAUAUGCUGAAAUAUUCACAGCUAAGUCUGCGAUGGCCAAAUCUGACAGUAGACAGAGGGAUAUAAUUUUCUCCCAGGGAGGAAUAACAAAUAUUUUUGAACUACAUAGGCUGCCACACUCAUACCCCGCUCCCCUGGGAGUGAAACCAGUAAUCAGCAUUUUAAAUGGAAGCACCCAAGCACCCCAAGACUGAUGCAGGUGGUCCUCAGAUCUCACUUUGAAAAACUCUGCCAUAUAAAUGAUACUUUCUGGACUCAACUCCAGAAAGACUGCUUACUUUGAGAGACUGGGUCAUUUUCUUAGGACUCCAUGUAUCUCUUGCUCUUAUUUCUUUUUUUUUUGUCUUUUUUUUUUUUUUUUGAGACGGAGUCUCGCUCUGUCGCCCA
rnacentral:lncRNA from 10 species